GCCAGGGCCCGCGGAGGGGGGGUGGGAACGCUGUGGGAAGAGGGCCAUUUCCUGCCAGGGGUCUUUCUGUUUUCUCUCCCAAACAGGAAGUUGGCCCCAGAAGAGGCUGAAAUGCUGCCCUUUGACCCCCCAAGAACCAGGCCCUCACUGACAACUGCCCUGUGAGCCGCCUCCCCAGGCCCCAGGCGGACCUGCCAUCCACAGACACAGAGCAGAGCCGCCGGCGCAGGGGGCUCCCCCAGACUCCGUGGCACCUCCAGCCCGAGUGUGGAGCGGGGGCCCCGUUCCCGCCCCCGUCUGUGGGCAAGGCCGCUCCUUAGAAUGUCCGCAAGGCGAGGGUCUGGCCUCCCACUUCACUGUCCAGGGAAAAACCGAAGGCUCGGGUGGGGAGACAGCCACAGCCCACAGGGCUGGAAGAUUCUCUAGGCCUGGAGCACGCUGCCUCUCUGCUCACAGCUCUCGCGUCCCCUUGUUCAUGGGGGCGGCAGUGGCCAACAGAAGUGCCCACUUUGGCUCCUGUGAUGCUUUACAGUCGUUAUGACACGCAUUGCUAAUAUCAGUAAUGGGGAGUUUCUCCGGAAAAUGCAGGUUUCCUUGUCGUGAGGGGUCAGCACGUUGGCCCAGGCUGGGUUCACGCUCCCGUGUGGUCGUGGCCCCCGGGCGGACAGGCAGGUGCUGCCCGAAAUGGGGCACAGGCACCUCGGUAGGUGCAGCCUUACUCUGCAUGCGCCUCGUUACGGGCACUACCGCCUCUUCCUUCUUUCGACCAAGGAUGCCGAGCCUCAGAGGGAGCAAGUUACUAGCCCAAGGCCGCACGGCUCGCUGGUGGGGAGGCUGGCAUUCCAGGUCAGGUGGAUCUGCGGCCAGAGCCCGAGCUCCUGACGACGGGGUUCCUGCCCCCCACCCCUCCAAGGCAGGGCCCCUGCCCUCCGCUGCAGCCCCACCACCCUCCACUGGGCCAAAGACCCUGCAGCUGCAGUCCUGUUGCGCUCCCUACUGCCACCAGAGUUGCCCGCUCGACCGUCAGAGUCCCACCGGCCCUUCCAAGCUCGGCUUGCUUGGCUUGGUUCAUUCCUCGAGUGGUAGCGGGCUGCGCGCUUGUCCGCUGCUGCGGUCCCACCAGAUGCUCCUGGAGGCCGGAGAGUCCUGCUGGCAGCCGGCAAGGGACCAUUAAUUUUUUUAUGGACGGUCAAACCCAGAUAAAGUGGAAAGGCUACCGCAUGGCUGAUCCCAAAACAGUAACCAAGGCGCCAGGGACGACAUCUGGGGGUCGG
rnacentral:lncRNA from 1 species